rnacentral:tRNA from 3 species
GAGGCAUUGGUGUAAUGGCAGCACGAUAGUCUGUGGCACUGUCGGUAGGGGUUCGAAUCCCCUAUGCCUCCCA